GACGAACGCUGGCGGCGUGCUUAACACAUGCAAGUCGAGCGGAGCGGCGGACGGGUGAGUAACGCGUGAGUAACUGCCCCCCUCCCUGGGAUAACAGUUGGAAACGGCUGCUAAUACCGGAUAGUGGGGGAUGACUCGCGUCCCAUCAGCUUGUUGGUGGGGUAGUGUCCUACCAAGGCGACGACGGGUAGCCGGCCUGGGCGGUCGACCGGCCACAAUGCGCUGAGGUACGGCCCAGAAUGCUACGGUGGGCAACGGUGGAGAGUAUUGCCCAAUGGGGGAGCCCGUGAUGAAGAAACGUCGCGUGCGGGAAGACGUCCUGCGGGUUGUAAACCGCUUUGAGCGAAUCCGCGGUAGUUGCAGAAGAAGCACCGGCUAACUACGUGCCAGCAGCCGCGGUAAUAC
rnacentral:rRNA from 1 species